GACAACUGGCUCCCUCUACUGAAC
rnacentral:piRNA from 2 species